CCUACGGGAGGCAGCAGUGAGGAAUAUUGGUCAAUGGGCGAGAGCCUGAACCAGCCAAGUCGCGUGAAGGAUGACGGCCCUACGGGUUGUAAACUUCUUUUGUCAGGGAGCAAUUGGGUCCACGCGUGGGCUUAGCGAGAGUACCUGAAGAAAAAGCAUCGGCUAACUCCGUGCCAGCAGCCGCGGUAAUACGGAGGAUGCGAGCGUUAUCCGGAUUUAUUGGGUUUAAAGGGUGCGUAGGCGGAAUAUCAAGUCAGCGGUAAAAAUUCGGGGCUCAACCCCGUCGUGCCGUUGAAACUGAUGUUCUGGAGUGGGCGAGAAGUAUGCGGAAUGCGUGGUGUAGCGGUGAAAUGCAUAGACAUCACGCAGAACUCCGAUUGCGAAGGCAGCAUACCGGCGCCCAACUGACGCUGCAGCACGAAAGCGUGGGUAUCGAACAGGAUUAGAUACCCCUGUAGUC
rnacentral:rRNA from 1 species